AAAAAAAGACCAGUCUUGGAUCCUUUCACAGGACACAAUGAUCUCCCCUUCAUCAGAGAGGUUGUCAAGGAAGGUAACUUCUCACAAACUUUGAAGGGUGAACAGAAAUAAGAGGCCUAGCAACCAGCCAACAAGGGUGCCUGUAAGCCACUGUCUCUCCUGGGAAGAAUGUGUGUGGUGGACACAGGUCAGUGGACAGCAGUUCCACUCAACCAGCGUCCCAAGGAUUAGUCCACAGGCAAGAGCUCCAGAGGCCUGCAGCCUCCCUGAGACCUUUCCACAGUGUUCUGACCAGUUACCAUGGAACUGCUGCCACAACACACCCCAAAGAACACCCCAGUAUUCCACCAGGAACCCCAUCAGCAACUGACCUCUUGGAUUGGUCAGUUACAUGAUGCAGGUGGCAAUCAGCAUAUCCAUUUCAUCAGCUGUGAUUCAGAGAAGAAAAGAAGUAGCAGAAAUCUACCCAAGGUCACCACUAGUAUGAAAACAAACUACUUAGAACAAGAAUACGUGUCACUGAUGCACUUGCCUCUCCAUUUAAUAAGAAGGUGAGUCUUCUCCUGUGUGAUCUGGAAUACGAGGUCAGAGAAAAUCCAGAAAAAUGUGCUGGAAACUCAAUGUGACCUUUCUUCCAUCCAGAACAUAGAUUCCAGCCCAUACAGUGUUCUCCCUUUCAUCCUUGGACUUCACAUUGUCAGGGCUGUCAGGAUAGACAAACCUCACCAGUGCAGCUGUUUGAUGGUAUUCUCAGUUCAGUUGGAAGAGGGAGUUAGCACAACCCUCAAGAGAGAGUUUUUCUCAUGAA